rnacentral:tRNA from 1 species
UAGUAGUUGGCCAAAGGGUAAGGCAAUAAGUUUUGAUCUUAAAGUUAUAGGUUCAAAUCCUAUACUGCUAG